CGUUGGAAUGGUUUUAUGUAACUCAAAAGAAUACAUAUAAAAAAGUUGAAUGCAUUAAUAAUUAUGUUCCAAUGUCUUUUUAAACACUAAAAUUUCGCAAAUAUGCAUUUCAGUCGUUGUUGAACUAAAGUCGGUUGACCAAUAACCAAACUAUGCAAUACAGUUAUUGGUUAAGUUUAUACUGUGAAAAUGUUUGCUUCUUCUGGAGUUCCACCUUGUCUUUGAACUAGCCCCAUCAAUAAGCACCAUACAUAACAAUUAAUAAUUUCUCAGUGUUAGAUUUUGUCAUACGUUGAAGCAUAUUUUCACGUGUUACACAUCAAUAUUGCUAUUUAACACAUUUUUAACAAUUUCCACUGGAAUCUUUAACACUUAAGCCAGUUGGCAUUUAUUUAUUUCGUUUACUUCAAGAACAACCUCAAGACAUUCCAAUGCACUAAAAAACGCGGAUAAUAAUUGUCUACGCUCCCAAAUGAACACUGAGUGGACGGUGGAAUGAAACAAAUUGCCGCAACGAAAUUUCUUCAACACAUUCCAAUUUCAAACAAAACUAAACUAAACAGCUCAGCAGAAAACACGAGUGUACUUCGAAACGCAGAAGACAUAUAAUGUUUUGCAGUUGGCUCUCAAAUGAACUGCGAAACGAAUGAGCGUUAUAUUUGUAAUUUUUUAUUAUAUGAUUUCUCUUUUUUACUUCCUAACUUGCAAUACUCUAAAAGAGCUCAAAAUUCGGGUCAAUGUCCAGCUGGGUUAAAUACUGCUACAAAAACGUGUUUUGAUUUUAACGGAAGUUGUACCGUAGCUUUAAAAUUUACCCACAAAUUAUUCCUCCAAGCCGGAGAAGUUCUUUUGGGAUGGGAUCCACAAACUGCCAGAAAGAUGGGCAAACAUCAUAGCUUCCGAUGGGCAAU